rnacentral:tRNA from 1 species
GCAGAUGUGGCGAAAUUGGCAGACGCACUAGACUUAGGAUCUAGCGCCGAGAGGCAUGGGGGUUCAAGUCCCUUCAUCUGCA